UCCUAGCCUUUUAUGAGAUUCAUAUGGAAGAGAUUACAUGCUCCUCCCACUUAAAGUGCCUUGAAUUUUGAUCCAGUGACUGUUAUUUCACUUUUCUUGAUGAGUCAAAUCAUCUUAGUUUGUGCUUGUGUUUACUUUGCAUGAUUAGAUUAAGAAACCCAGUUUUGUUCUAAGUAAUCUGACUGCUUCAAAUAAGAUGAUGGAUGGAUCAAAUUGAAAAACUAGGAGGCAAUCUAGGAACAAGACAAUAAUUGCCUAUUUUUUAAGUGAUUUAUCUGAGUUGAUUGAGACAAUAAUCUAGGAACAAGACAGUAAUCUGACUCCUUCAAAUAAGAUGGUUAAACCGUGGAAUUAAUUUUCAAAAUUUUGAUUGAGCCAAUUAAAUUAUAGCACUUGGAUGGAAUUACUCUUUUCUGAGUUUAUUUAUCAAGAAAUGCAACUAUGUUUUGCAAGUUUUGAGUCAUUUGAAAUCCCUCCUUUGUGAUUUAUUUGUUCUUUUGUUUGGGGACAAGCAAAUUCUUAGGUUUGGGGGCAUUUGAUAUUGUAAAUAUUUAUUUGAUAUUGUAAUAAUGUUUUGUUUAAUUAAUCUGGUCCUUUUUUUUAUUAUUUUUGAGUGCUUUGUCAGUAAUUUUCAUCUAUAUUAUUAAUUUUGUUAUCUUUAUUGUUCUUAGUUUAGGUAAGUUUAGUGUUUUUAAUCUAUUUUAUGUGAUAAAUGACCAUGGAGUGAAGAAAAUCUAGUCAAGUGAAGUAAUUGGGGUCACUUGGAAGUGUUGGAGGUCCAAAUUCACCUCCUACCCAUGCAUACUGAAGGAUUUCACAUUCUUGGGCGUGACCCUUGUGAACAAUUGAAUAAAAAAUGGAGAAUCAAAGGAAAAUUGCACCAGGUAUAUUCUCAUGCUUAGGGCGUGAGAUUGCCCUAGGCGCACACCUUGGGCAUGAGUUCUUCAAAGGUUAGAGGCUUAGGAGAGAGACAGAUAGGCACCAGAACAGUUUUUACUUAGAUUCGAGCAGCUCAUUCUCGCCCAUUCUUCACUUCUAAGGUCUUGAACACUUUCUAGAAUCCAUUUUUUGAGGAGAAAUCAAGCUUUGAAGGGAAUUUAAUGGUAUUCAAACAUAACAAUAACAAAUGGGUUUCUAAAACAAAAAUUUUGGAAAAUAAAAGAGAAGAAAGAAACUCUAAGGAGCUUAACCCUUGAUCUAGCUCCAAUCUCCCCAAAAUUUCUUCUUCAAAAACCUUGCUCUGGCUCGAAGAUGUCUUUUCUUAGAGUCAAGAAUAAGUGAAAAUGAGUUGCUAGAAUCAAGGAAAAACCAUUCUGAUACCUCCUCAUCUGCUGGUCCACGUGUGAAGGUCGUUAAGGUGGAGAAAAUGCCCUUUUGGAAGACUGUGGAUCUGGUGGAUAAAUGUUUAAUUUCUCAUUUUUCCUUCAAACCACUCACAAGGAUCAUGCAGCGGUAGUGAAAUUAUCUUUCCUGCAUGACUUGGGCGUGAAUUUUGUGCCCUAAAGACUUCCCAAUUGACCUCAAAUGCUUCCUUAACUCAAUUUCCUUCAAUUUAUGGCCAUUUUUCACCUAGAACAAAGUAAAAUCAACAAAAAUAAACUUAGAACAAUCACAUUAACAAGAUUACUAAUAAAAAAAAUAAAUAAAACAUAAAGAGACUCAAAAUUGUUAAAAACCAACAAAAUUAACUAAAAUAAGUACUAUAUUUACAUCACAUGUCCUUAUGCUAGGAAUAAACAUAGGAAGAUUGGUGCUGUUAAAUUUUAUUUUUAAAAAGCUUAUAAUUGUGCAAAUUAAAACUUCCUGAUGGGAUUAUGGAUAAGAAGAGAUUUGUUAGAGUAAAUAGAUUAGAUGAUGUUGAUCUUCUGAGGAAAACUGGAUUCUGCGGGUUUGGUGGUUGAUGAAGCUGUUGAUGAUAAGAAUAAACAUAGGAAGGGUGGUGCUGUUAAAUUGACUUUUGAUAUGGCUUAUGAUUGUGCAAAUUAAAAAUUCCUGAUGGUAUUAUGGAUAAGAGAGAUGGAAGAGAGAUUUGAAUUUAGAGGAAAUAGAUUAAUUGUUGUUUAUCUUCCGAGGAAAACUGGAUUUUGCUGGCAUGUUUGGUGGCAUUUUUGAGAACCAAUUUAGUUAUUUUGCAAGGUUGAAAGGCACAAAGUCAAGGCUACCUGUGUUAAUUUUUUUUUUCUAUUUCUAGUGUCAAUUGAAGGAGGAUGCUUCUCCUGAUUUUAUUCUCUGCACUCCUGAUUUAGAAAUUGUAUUCCAUGUAAAAUUAGGAAAUUUAGAUUUCUAUUACGUAAGAAAUAUUAAUAAUAUUUCUAUUGUUUAGGAAUUUUAUUACUAUUAUUAUGAUUAUUUAGGAAGUUUGUUUUGUCUAGUAUUCCUAAUUAAAAUUGGAAUUAUUGUUCCUAAUUCUAACAUGAUUAGUGUUGCAAAAACUCUAUUAAUAGGCCUAGGUUUUUUUUAUUAUUUAGUAGAUUUGAUUAUAAUGAUUAUUGAAAAUUGAGAAUUAAAUAAAGUUGAGGAUUAGUUUCUCUAGAGAAUUUAUUUUUCUUCAUUUGAAUCUUCAGAAUUUGUUUCUCUUUAUUAAUGUGCUCUUCUUGUUGUAUAUCUAUAAUUCUUAAUCUACUGAAUGUAAAAAAGAAGCCGAGGUGGGGCUGAUGAGUACUGAAAGGAAAGAAAAUUGUAGAGCUCUUCUGUAAAUGGGCUUGUGUGAUAUACAACUGGUGCCCUAUGCUAUCAGGUUUGCACUUUGGACUGUUUGUGCCUAUGCCUUGUUUAUUCUUUGGAGGUGGGUCCACUCAGUUUCUAAUUAGCCGGGAUGUUGGGGGAGGGGGGAGAGGGGGUGGGAGGAAUGGUUACGUUGGAUAGAUGCUGCAAAAUUCCUUGCAGGUGCGUCAGCUGUUGGGAGCAUAUUAUCCUUGGGCAUGCUCAUAUGAUUGAAACAGGUGCUAUGUUGAUCGAGUUCACAUCAUUCUUCAUAUUUGUUUGCACAGUCUUGUGUUUUCAUCGCGCCAGUCUUGAGGAUGAUUGGUGAUUGAUUGAUUGAUACAGCCCUUGCCAAAUUCUGAUGCACGUGACUUGUAUGCUUUUGUUGAGGGGAAAAAUUAUGACCAAAUUAGUGAUAUAAACAUGGGAAAAGAAGAAGCAGGAUUUUCCCAUCUUGUAAAUUCCUUUUGUGUAAAUCUUCCAAAGGAAAGCAUGGGUUUACAGUAUUUUGCUUUGCUAUUCUUCUAUCCUGUUUGAUUUCUUCUAUUUUGGAAAGUACGCCUGAUUAUUUUGUAACUGUUGCUGGCAAGUUCAUUUGCCAUUUUAUAUAGAUAUAAUUUUUUUUUUAUUAUUAUUACA